rnacentral:rRNA from 1 species
UGAAUACGAGACGCUAAGGCGUCGAAGUAGUGUAUGUCAUACUUCCAAGAAAAGCUUGCACUGUCAUAGAUAAAAAACGCCUGUACCAUAACCGACACAGGUGGGUAGGUAGAGUAUACUAAGGGGCGCGAGAUAACUCUCUCUAAGGAACUCGGCAAAAUGACUCCGUAACUUCGGGAGAAGGAGUGCCUUAUUCUUAAGGUUGCAAUAACAAGAUCCAAGCAACUGUUUAUCAAAAACACAGGUCUCCGCUAAGUCGUAAGACGAUGUAUGGGGGCUGACGCCUGCCCAGUGCCAGAAGGUUAAAGAAGUUGGUUAGCAUUUGCGAAGCUGAUAACUGAAGCCCUGGUGAACGGCGGCCGUAACGAUAACGGUCCUAAGGUAGCGAAAUUCCUUGUCGGGUAAGUUCCGACCCGCACGAAAGGCGUAAUGAUUUGGAUACUGUCUCGGAGAGGGGCUCGGUGAAAUAGACUUGUCUGUGAAGAUGCGGACUACCUGCACCAGGACAGAAAGACCCUAUGAAGCUUUACUGUAACUUGAAAUUGAAAUUGGACUUUAUUCGCGCAGUAUAGGUGGGAGGCGUUGAUUAUAAUCUUGCGGGAUUAUUGGAGCCAUCAGUGAGAUACCACCCUUGUAAUGUUAGAUUUCUAACUUUGAAUCAUUAUCUGGUCAAAGAACAGUUUCAGGCGGGCAGUUUGACUGGGGCGGUCGCCUCCUAAACGGUAACGGAGGCGUACAAAGGUUUCCUCUGAACGGUUAGAAAUCGUAUCUAGAGUGUAAAGGCAUAAGGAAGCUUGACUGUGAGACCUACAAGUCGAGCAGGGACGAAAGUCGGUCUUAGUGAUCUGACGGUACUGAGUGGAAAGGCCGUCACUCAACGGAUAAAAGUUACUCUAAGGAUAACAGGCUGAUCUCCCCCAAGAGUUCACAUCGACGGGGAGGUUUGGCACCUCGAUGUCGGCUCAUCGCAUCCUGGGGCGGUAGUACGUCCCAAGGGUUGGGCUGUUCGCCCAUGAAAGCGGUACGCGAGCUGGGUUCAGAACGUCGUGAGACAGUUCGGUCCAUAUCCGGUGUAGGCGUUAGAAUAUUGAGAGGAGCCUUCUUUAGUACGAGAGGACCGAGAAGGACGUACCUCUGGUGUACCAGUUAUCGUGCCAACGGUAAACGCUGGGUAGCUAUGUAUGGAGUGGAUAACCGCUGAAAGCAUCUAAGUGGGAAGCCCACCUCAAGAUAAGUAUUCUC